AGGAUAAACGCUGGCGGCGUGCCUAACACAUGCAAGUCGAACGCCCUUGAGCAAUCAAGGGAGUGGCGGACGGGUGAGUAACACGUGGGUACCUACCCCAAGGUGAGGAAUACCGGCGAGAAAUCGCCGACAAUACCGCAUACGUUUCGCAAGAAACAAAGCUCGCAAGAGCGCCAUGGGAAGGGCCUGCGGCCGAUUAGCUGGUUGGUGAGGUAACAGCUUACCAAGGCGACGAUCGGUAGCUGGUCUGAGAGGACGAUCAGCCACACUGGGAUUGAGAACGGCCCAGACUCCUACGGGGGGCAGCAGUGAGGAAUUUUCGUCAAUGGGGGGCAACCCUGAACGAGCAACGCCGCGUGCAGGAAGAAGGUUUUCGGAUCGUAAACUGCUUUCUCUGGGACGAGAACGGACGGUACCAGAGGAAUCAGCCCCGGCUAACUACGUGCCAGCAGCCGC
rnacentral:rRNA from 1 species